GGACGAGGUGGGGCCCACCCAUGGGCUGGUCCAGACUUUCUUCUCCACUCACUCCACCAAGAUGGCUUCAAGUCGAGUGAUGCUAUUUUCUGGUUCCAAGCCACUUGGGUCAGAGAAUAUAGAUAAUCAUGGCUAAGCUAGCCUCCAAAGCUGGAAGCUGAAUUGAGUCGAAAAAUAAUGACACGUAUACAAGGUGUGUUUGGAGGAUUGCAGAUGCAGGGACACCGUACUGCUAAAGGAGUGUUGGAAGCUCACUGCAGAAGAUGAUAAAAGCAGACUGAUGCGUAUUACCUGCUGAAAUUGUCAGAGAUGGCUUUGGAUUCCCAGUUCUGUGUGCUCCUGUCUGGCUCCUGAACCCAGCUGGAGAGGUGAGUCUGGUGAAGUACUGAGAGGAAGCUACACAAAAGGCAGCAAGGUAUUAAUAAGUGUACCUAUGAGAUUUUAACCACCUCUGACUGUUCCAUCGAAUGGACAAGUAGCAAUCUCUGUCAGAGCUGCAUUUUAAA